AAUAAGUGUAGUUUUGCACUAUUCACGUUCAACGUUUGACCGUUCGUCUUAUUUGAAAAUUUUUUAUGAUUAGUAUUUUUAUUAUUAUUAGAUGAUAAAACAUGAAUAGUACUUUAUGUGUGACUAAAUAUUUUUAAAUUUUUCAUAAAUUUUUCAAAUAAGACGAACGGUCAAAUGUUGAGCACGAAUAUCCCAUGGCUGUACUUAUU
rnacentral:pre_miRNA from 1 species